rnacentral:rRNA from 1 species
GACGAACGCUGGCGGCGUGCUUAACACAUGCAAGUCGAGCGGAAAGGCCCUUCGGGGUACUCGAGCGGCGAACGGGUGAGUAACACGUGAGUAAUCUGCCCUUGGCUUUGGGAUAACUACCGGAAACGGUGGCUAAUACCGGAUACGACAACCGUCUGCAUGGGCUGGUUGUGGAAAGUUUUUUCGGCCAGGGAUGUGCUCGCGGCCUAUCAGCUUGUUGGUGGGGUAAUGGCCUACCAAGGCUUCGACGGGUAGCCGGCCUGAGAGGGUGACCGGCCACACUGGGACUGAGACACGGCCCAGACUCCUACGGGAGGCAGCAGUGGGGAAUAUUGGACAAUGGGCGGAAGCCUGAUCCAGCAACGCCGCGUGAGGGAUGACGGCCUUCGGGUUGUAAAACUCUUUAAGUACCGACGAAGCGCCGAUGAUGGUGGUGACGGUAGGUACAGAAGAAGCACCGGCCAACUACGUG